UACAGAGGUCUCAAGCGUUGUUCGGAUUCAUUGGGCGUAAAGGGUGCGUAGGUGGCGUCGUAAGUCAGGUGUGAAAUCUCGGGGCUCAACCCCGAAACUGCACUUGAUACUGCGAUGCUUGAGUACUGGAGAGGAGAUUGGAAUUUACGGUGUAGCAGUGAAAUGCGUAGAUAUCGUAAGGAAGACCAGUGGCGAAGGCGAAUCUCUGGACAGUUACUGACACUGAGGCACGAAGGCCAGGGGAGCAAAACGGG
rnacentral:rRNA from 1 species